GAUGAACGCUGGCGGCGUGCCUAAUACAUGCAAGUCGAGCGAACAGAUAAGGAGCUUGCUCCUUUGACGUUAGCGGCGGACGGGUGAGUAACACGUGGGUAACCUACCUAUAAGACUGGAAUAGCUCCGGGAAACCGGGGCUAAUGCCGGAUAACAUUUAGAACCGCAUGGUUCUAAAGUGAAAGAUGGUUUUGCUAUCACUUAUAGAUGGACCCGCGCCGUAUUAGCUAGUUGGUAAGGUAACGGCUUACCAAGGCAACGAUACGUAGCCGACCUGAGAGGGUGAUCGGCCACACUGGAACUGAGACACGGUCCAGACUCCUACGGGGGGCAGCAGUAGGGAAUCUUCCGCAAUGGGCGAAAGCCUGACGGAGCAACGCCGCGUGAGUGAUGAAGGUCUUCGGAUCGUAAAACUCUGUUAUUAGGGAAGAACAAAUGUGUAAGUAACUGUGCACGUCUUGACGGUACCUAAUCAGAAAGCCACGGCUAACUACGUG
rnacentral:rRNA from 1 species